CCCUUAGAUGUCCGGGGCCGCACGCGCGCUACACUGAAGGAAUCAGCGUGGCUUUCUCCCUGACCCGAAAGGGUUGGGAAACCCGUUGAAUCUCCUUCGUGAUAGGGAUUGGGGCUUGAAAUUGUUCCCCAUGAACGAGGAAUUCCCAGUAAGCGCGAGUCAUAAGCUCGCGUUGAUUACGUCCCUGCCCUUUGUACACACCGCCCGUCGCUACUACCGAUUGAACGGUUUAGUGAGGGCCUCGGAUUGGUCUCGGCCCGGUCUUUACCGGGCGGCGCCGUUGGUCGAGAAGACGCUCGAACUUGAUCGUUUAGAGGAAGUAAAAGUCGUAACA
rnacentral:rRNA from 1 species